UAAAUGGAAGGUGUGACCCAGAAGUCAGGC
rnacentral:piRNA from 1 species